rnacentral:rRNA from 1 species
GAUGAACGCUAGCGGGAGGCCUAACACAUGCAAGCCGAGCGGUAUUGUUUCUUCGGAAAUGAGAGAGCGGCGUACGGGUGCGUAACACGUGUGCAACCUGCCUUUAUCUGGGGGAUAGCCUUUCGAAAGGAAGAUUAAUACUCCAUAAUAUAUUGAACGGCAUCGUUUAAUAUUGAAAGCUCCGGCGGAUAGAGAUGGGCACGCGCAAGAUUAGCUAGUUGGUGAGGUAACGGCUCACCAAGGCGAUGAUCUUUAGGGGGCCUGAGAGGGUGAUCCCCCGCACUGGUACUGAGACACGGACCAGACUCCUACGGGAGGCAGCAGUGAGGAAUAUUGGUCAAUGGGUGCAAGCCUGAACCAGCCAUCCCGCGUGAAGGACGACUGCCCUAUGGGUUGUAAACUUCUUUUGUAUAGGGAUAAACCUACCCUCGAGAGGGUAGCUGAAGGUACUAUACGAAUAAGCACCGGCUAACUCCGUG